rnacentral:rRNA from 1 species
CCUACGGGAGGCAGCAGUGAGGAAUAUUGGUCAAUGGACGAGAGUCUGAACCAGCCAAGUAGCGUGAAGGAUGACUGCCCUAUGGGUUGUAAACUUCUUUUAUAAAGGAAUAAAACGAGGCACGUGUGCCUUUUUGCAUGUACUUUAUGAAUAAGGAUCGGCUAACUCCGUGCCAGCAGCCGCGGUAAUACGGAGGAUGCGAGCGUUAUCCGGAUUUAUUGGGUUUAAAGGGUGCGUAGGCGGAAGGUUAAGUCAGCGGUCAAAUGUCGGGGCUCAACCCCGGCCUGCCGUCGGAACUGGGUGCCUUGAGUGGGCGAGAAGUAUGCGGAAUGCGUGGUGUAGCGGUGAAAUGCUUAGAUAUCACGAAGAACUCCGAUUGCGAAGGCAGUUCACUGGACUGCAACUGACACUGAGGCUCGAAAGUGUGGGUAUCAAACAGGAUUAGAUACCCUUGUAGUC